rnacentral:rRNA from 1 species
AGCAGCCGCGGUAAUUCCAGCUCCAAUAGCGUAUAUUAAAGUUGUUGCAGUUAAAAAGCUCGUAGUUGAAUUUCGGGAUCAAUUUAUUGGUCGUGCUAUUGUACGUACUGGUAUUAUUGAUUCCUACCUUCUGACGAACCAUGAUGUCAUUAAUUUGGUGUCAUGGGGAAUCAGGACUGUUACUUUGAAAAAAUUAGAGUGUUUAAAGCAGGCUCACGCUUGAAUACAUUAGCAUGGAAUAACGAAAUAGGACGUUUGAUUCUAUUUUGUGGUUUCUAGGAUCGACGUAAUGAUUAAUAGGGAUAGUUGGGGGCAUUAGUAUUCAAUUGUCAGAGGUGAAAUUCUUGGAUUUAUUGAAGACUAACUACUGCGAAAAGCAUUUGCCAAGGAUGUUUUCAUUAAUCAAGAACGAAAGUUAGGGGAUCGAAGACGAUCAGAUACCGUCGUAGUCUUAACCAUAAACUAUGCCGACUAGGGAUCGGAUGAUGUUAAUUUUUAAUGACUCAUUCGGCGU